UAUCUCUGUAGAGUCUGCAUAUCAAUAAGCGGAGGAAAAGAAACUAACUAGGAUUCCCUUAGUAACGGCGAGUGAAGCGGGAAGAGCUCAAAUUUGAAAUCUUCAAGGUUUUACCUUGACGAAUUGUAGUUUAAAGAAGUGUUUUCUGUUGGUGUUUUGGUAAAAGUUCUUUGGAAUAGGACAUCAUAGAGGGUGAGAAUCCCGUAUUUGACCAUUACUUCCAGCGUUGUGAUACACUUUCAAAGAGUCGGAUUGUUUGGGAAUGCAGUCCAAAAUGGGUGGUAAAUUUCAUCUAAGGCUAAAUACUGGCGAGAGACCGAUAGCGAACAAGUACCGUGAGGGAAAGAUGAAAAGAACUUUGAAAAGAGAGUUAAACAGUACGUGAAAUUGUCAAAAGGGAAGCGUUUGACACCAGUGUUGUUUUCUCGAAAAUCAAUUAAAAAAUGGCUGAUUUUGUGUUGUAUUGACCUUUAAUCAAGCUUUCUUCACUCUUUUCAUGUCUUUUUUAAUGCACUUUUCGUUUAACAAGUCAACAUCAGUUUCUUUUGUUGUAAAAGGGUCAUUGGAAGGUGGCUUUCUUUUCGGAGAAAGUGUUUAUAGCCUUUGGCCUCUGCAAUCGGAGAGAUUGCGGUCUGCAGCGUAGAUCCUUCGGGGUUAGAUACAUUUGUGCUAAGUUAUAGCCUUUCAUAGACAACUUGUUGACUAUGAUCAGUCAUGUAGCUUACUCGCUUAUGCUAUUUUACCUACGCUUAGGAUGUUGAUAGUCACAGCGUGUAC
rnacentral:rRNA from 1 species